rnacentral:rRNA from 1 species
CCAGACUCCUACGGGAGGCAGCAGUGAGGAAUAUUGGUCAAUGGCCGAGAGGCUGAACCAGCCAAGUCGCGUGAGGGAUGACGGCCCUACGGGUUGUAAACCUCUUUUGCCGGGGAGCAAAGAGCGGGACGCGUCCCGCCUCGAGAGUACCCGGAGAAAAAGCAUCGGCUAACUCCGUGCCAGCAGCCGCGGUAAUACGGAGGAUGCGAGCGUUAUCCGGAUUUAUUGGGUUUAAAGGGUGCGCAGGCGGAGGUGCAAGUCAGCGGUCAAAUUGCGGGGCUCAACCCCGUCGUGCCGUUGAAACUGGCGUUCUUGAGUGAGUGAGAAGUAAGCGGAAUGCGUGGUGUAGCGGUGAAAUGCAUAGAUAUCACGCAGAACGCCGAUUGCGAAGGCAGCUUACCGGCGCUCAACUGACGCUGAGGCACGAAAGUGCGGGUAUCGAACAGGAUUAGAUACCCCCGUAGA